rnacentral:misc_RNA from 1 species
UCUAAGGAAUAAAACGGAAACCUACACAUUACAUUGUGGAAACUUUGUUUAGUUUUGAGAGGUUUACUCUCAAGCUUGCACUUUGAAAACUAAAUAAUAUCAAUUUUCUUUAUUAAUUAACAAAACAAACCGAGAACACCGCGUUAUUUUGAGUUUUUUAGAAAUUAAUCGCUAACUCAAUUAAUCGGAUAAUCACGAAGUGAUUAUCAAGGUUAAGUUAUGAAGGGCGCAUGGUGAAUGCCUUGGUACUAGGAGCCGAUGAAGGACGGGACUAACACCGAUAUGCUUCGGGGAGCGGUAAGUACGCUUUGAUCCGGAGAUUUC